CACAUUGAACAGACUAAUAAAAUUUGUGCAUUCUGUUGAAAAUGUAUCAGCUGGCGAAUAGAUAGGUGAGUGCGUGGAGUACGAAAAGGUCCUGGUGGCAGUUGCACCCUGGGAGCCUACGGAGAUCAAUGAUCGGAUGUAACAUUCAAAGAUUUGUUUCGUACAAUUUCUUGCGGUUGCUCUUUGAAAGCUUCC
ensembl:ncRNA T28B11.12 ncRNA